rnacentral:piRNA from 1 species
UAACACACAGGUAUUUCUGGGUUCCCUG